GGGAGUGCAGGGAUGGCACAGCCAGUGCAAAGGUACAAAUACAGGAGAUGAAGUGUGUAGAAUGGGAAGUAGGUUAGACUGGCUAGAUGGGCAAGUAUGUGGAAAAGAGUAAAGUGUACAAAGAUUGGAAAGGUAGGAAGGACUUAAGCUAUGAAGAGAUUUAAGUGCCAGAGUUAAAUUUGAUACUAGAGGUAAUCGGGAGUCAAUGGAAUUUGUUGAGUAGGGGGUAAUAUCAAACCUGUGGUUUAGGAAAAUCACUUUGGCCGAUGUGUGGAGAAUGGAUUGGAAUGGAAAGAUGCUUGUGAUUGAUAGGAACCAGAUAGAUGUCUGUUACAUUAGCCCAGGUGAUGAGCCUCAACUAUUGGAGUAGGGGUGGGGGGAAGAUAGAAGUCACAAGGUUUGGCAGCAUACACAGAGAAAAAGGUAGAGUUGACAUGAAGGUUGAUAAGCUGGGUUCCUGGAAGAAUGUUGAUAUCCUUUAAAUCAAUGGGAAAAUUCAGGAAAAGGAUAAGUUUUGAGGGAAAGAUAAUGAGUUCAGUUUUGGACAUGUUGAAUUGAGAUGUUGAAGUUGAAAUUUUCAAAAGGCAGUUGGUAAUGUGGGACCAGAACUCAGAAGUGAAACUAGAGAUGGAUAUUUACAUCUCAGAGUCUUCUGCCUAGAGAUCAUUAUUAAAUGCAUGGUAGCUGAUAAAAAUUACAAAAUUAGAAUAUAUUUAGAAAAAGAGAGUCCAGAACAGAACCAUGGAGUAUACUCAUAAUAGGCAUGACAUCUGUGAUGACUGAGCAAAGGAGGUUGAGAAAGAGGAGCCAGACAAGAGAACCAGAACAAAUCAAUAUUAGGAAAACCAGUCACUAGUGUCACAUGCUGCUGAGGGCAUGAAGAAUGAGGAUUGAGAGGUCAUUUAGAUUUGGCAUUUAGUAGCUCACUGAUGACUUUGGAGAAGUCACUUUGAGUUGUGAGGUUAGAAGGCAGAAAAGUUUGAGAGAUGAUUUUUUCAAGGAUUAUGGCUGAGAAGGAAUAUAGAAGGUGAUAGCCGGGAUGGUGCUGUCCAUGAAGGAGACUGAAGCAUGUUUGUAAGCAACAAAGAACCAGCAGAUGGGAGGUUGAAGACUAGAGAGCAAGGUUGCUGGUGGGAGCAAUCUGCUAGAAAUGAGAUGCAUGAAGUCAAGGGUACAUGUAGUGGAGUUGGUCUUUGGCAAGAAAAACAUCAGUCUAAAGAAGGAAAUGGUAGAUUAUGUCAAGAGUUUUUGAGAUGAAGGAAUUCUCAGCAACAUGCCUGAAUUUUUUUUUCCAGUAAAUUGUGAGACAAGACCCACAGCUAAGAAGUUGGAGAAAGGGGUGCUAAUGGAGUCUUGAGAGAAGAAGUUUGCAAAAGCUGUUCAUAAGAGUGCAGGUUAGGAACAGGGAGGUGACAUUAAUAGAAUUUGGAACUGAAAAAAAAACUGAAUAAAAAAAUUCUUUGGAUAUAUUUAUUCAACUGGAUAUGGAUCUACCCAGUUAUCAUCCAGCCUCCAUUUCCCCAACUUGUCCAUAAUAUCAAAGACUUCAUCAAAUGUCUUGCUGAAAUUCAGGGAAGUUAAAACUUAAACAUUGGAAAAUGAUCGUUUGAGGGACUGCUGAAUAGGCAUUUUUACAUUUCAUCUCAUUCCACACCGUUAGUCUCAAAAUUCAAGUCUUCUGGCAAGGCAAGUGAGGAUUUGGGUUCAUUUGUCAGUGAUCAUUUCCUCUGAUACAGAAACUCCCCCCUGUCACCAAUCAGCUAUGAGCUAAGGAACCCAGAAUCUCAACCUCUGGAAUUCACAAGAUUUUCACCAAGACUGGUUUCAGGAUCACUGUUUUGGCUACCUAUAUUCAUGAAAGAAAAUACGAAGAGAAAAAAAGAAUGUAAUCAGGGAUCCCAAAGCCCAGGCAUAGCUUACCUAACCAAGUAGUGUCAUUGGCUUAGUACCAGCACCCUUUUCCCAGCAUCCAGAAUGACAUAAUUUGAGAAUUGGAAGGGACCCUAGUGGCCAUCUACUCCAACAUAAAAACUAAAGGAAUCAUCACUGGACAAGCAGUCAUACAGCCUCUGCUUGAAGAUUUCCGAGGACAGGCAACCCAUU